UACGUAGGGUGCAAGCGUUGUCCGGAAUUACUGGGCGUAAAGCGCGUGUAGGCGGUUGUCCAAGUUGGAUGUGAAAGCCUUGAGCUUAACUCAAGAAAUGCAUUCAGGACUGGAUGACUAGAGGACCGGAGUGGAUAGUGGAAUUCCCAGUGUAGUGGUGAAAUACGUAGAGAUUGGGAAGAACACCAGUGGCGAAGGCGGCUAUCUGGACGGUUUCUGACGCUAAGACGCGAAAGCGUGGGGAGCAAACAGG
rnacentral:rRNA from 1 species